GUCUAUGGCCAUGCCACCCUGAACAAGCCGGAUCCCGUCUGAUCUCGGAAGCUAAGCAGGGCUGUGCCUGGUUAGUACUUGGUUGGAAGACCCCCUAGGAAGACCAGGUGCUGUAGAUA
rnacentral:rRNA from 1 species